GGUUGUUGUGUUGGGUAGUCCUCUGUGCUACAGACGGAGAAUGUAGGGACGCCCUGGACCUCAUGUCGGUUGGUGUGUUGGUUGGUCCUCCGUGCUAGACAGAGUUGUGAGGACGCCCUGGACUGGAUGAUAGUUGGGGUGACAUGUCAGGUGUGCUACGGGGAUUCGAAGAGCGUCAGUGUGGGCCACUGAAGUCGAAACACUUCAAGCAAUAAACACCUGUUACGAUUUGUGGUUUAUUACACAUUUGGAAUCCCCAACAUUUCGACUUCAACCACAAUGGGCUGGCAAGAGGAGAUGGAAUUGUUAAAGAGGAAGAGGGCCAUU